UUGACCCUCCUGAAAAUAUUCUGGACUUUUCAAUCCAGCAGGACCAGGACUUAAAGAAAAAAGAGUCCGUUUCUUUGCUGAAAAAUCCCCCAGUAGGUGACUCCAGCCAGACCUCGGGGGGCUCCACAUCAGAGGGCUCCUCUGUAGGUUUCAGGCCGGUACCGAAGAAGAGGACGCUCCUCUUGAGCCGCAGUCAGUUAGAAAACAACAACCAGCUGGGGUUGGACAUCCAGGUGAGACCUGCAGAGAUUGUUCCUGCUCCAAGACGACACCACCAGCAGCAAUCCAUCCCAUCCGGCCUUAAGAGCAAAGAUGAAACGUCCCAGGAAGGUGUUUUAAAUCCGUCUGUUCAACCAUCCAAAACACGAGAGGAAAUUUCUCUGCAGCCACUCUGUGAUGGAUCUCAAGUCUCUUCUAAUUCAAGUCUGGAGAGAGAAAGAACAAGAGACAGACCAGCGGCGUACACCAGGACGGAUGUGAACGCCAGGAGAGAAACAGCAAAGUGGAAGAACGAUCGAGAAGAUCUGAACCCAAGAGAGCGAGCAGCCUCGAACGUUGUCUGUGUUCCGGAGAGGUUCGGGAGACGGGAGAAUC